rnacentral:rRNA from 1 species
GACGAACGCUGGCGGCGUGCUUAAUACAUGCAAGUCGAACGGAAAGACGAGGAUUUUGUGGGGUGCAUGAUAGGGGAGGAGGUGAGUAAAACGCGAGUAAAAUGCACUUGUAUUUGGGGUAACAUCAGGAAACAGGGGAUCUUACCGGAGAGGAGCUCCUGCUGCAUGGGGGUGGUUGGAGAGAUUCGGCGGUUGGGGAUGGAAUCGAGGCUUAUCCGCUUGUUGGUGGGGUAGUGGCUUACAAAGGGUUUGACGGGUAGCCGGCCUGGGAGGGUGACCGGCGUCAUUGGGACUGAGAUAGGGCCCAGUCUCCUACGUGAGGCAGUAGUGGGGAACAUUGCACAGUGGGGGGACGCCUGAUGCAGCAACGUCGCGUGCGUGAUGACGGCUUUCGGGUUGUAAACCUCUUUGUCCUUAGAUGUAGCGUGAUUGACGGUAAUUGGUAAAGAAGCACCGGCUAACUACGUG